GCCCAGGUGGCGGAAUGGUAGACGCGCUCGUUUCAGGUGCGAGUGCUGCAAGGCAUGCAGGUUCGAGUCCUGUUCUGGGCA
rnacentral:tRNA from 1 species